rnacentral:lncRNA from 1 species
UAAUAAAUGGCCAGCUGACAAACUCCAGGAAAAGGAGAAAGCAGAUGGAGACACCAAAGAAGAAAUAAAUUAAAUGGCAUCUCCAAAUCAAUGGUAAACCAGGGAAAUGAACUGAAUCAGUUCCGUCUGUCUCCUCAUGUUUAAGGAAUGAAUAAUUUGUACUCUGGGAGAUAUAUAAAGCAUGAGAUGGUAUCCACUUCAAUGGACUGUUUCCAGAACUCCGUGUUCAGAAUCUGACUCAGGAGAAAUGAAUAAUUUCUCUUCAGGU